UCUCAACCUCUGUGCACUUAUUGUAGGUCGGUGGAAGGCUCGCAAGAGCUGGAAGCCUGCUUAUGUUUUACUACAAACGCUUCAGUUAUAGAAUGUUUACUUGCGUAUAACGCAUUUAUAUACAACUUUCAGCAACGGAUCUCUUGGCUCUCGCAUCGAUGAAGAACGCAGCGAAAUGCGAUAAGUAAUGUGAAUUGCAGAAUUCAGUGAAUCAUCGAAUCUUUGAACGCACCUUGCGCUCCCUGGUAUUCCGGGGAGCACGCCCGUUUGAGUGUCAUGGUAUUCUCAACCUUCCUCACUUUUGUGACUGGAAGGCUUGGAUGUGGAGGUCGUGCGGGCUCUCGCGAGUCGGCUCCUCUGAAAUGCAUUAGCGUGAACGUUUACGGAUCGCUAUCAGUGUGAUAAUUAUCUGCGCUGUUAGUGUUGAAGUAUUGCUUAGUGUCGCGCUUCUAACCGUCCUUCAGUUGGACAACUUAUCUGACAUCUGGCCUCAAAUCGGGCGGGACUACCCGCUGAACUUAAGCAUAUCAAUAAGCGGAGGA
rnacentral:rRNA from 1 species